GACGAACGCUGGCGGCGUGCUUAACACAUGCAAGUCGAACGGAAAGGCCCUGCUUGCAGGGUACUCGAGUGGCGAACGGGUGAGUAACACGUGGGUGAUCUGCCCUGCACUUCGGGAUAAGCCUGGGAAACUGGGUCUAAUACCGGAUAGGAGCCAUUUUUAGUGUGAUGGUUGGAAAGUUUUUUCGGUGUAGGAUGAGCUCGCGGCCUAUCAGCUUGUUGGUGGGGUAAUGGCCUACCAAGGCGGCGACGGGUAGCCGGCCUGAGAGGGUGGACGGCCACAUUGGGACUGAGAUACGGCCCAGACUCCUACGGGAGGCAGCAGUGGGGAAUAUUGCACAAUGGGCGCAAGCCUGAUGCAGCGACGCCGCGUGGGGGAUGACGGCCUUCGGGUUGUAAACUCCUUUCGCUAGGGACGAAGCUUUUUGGGACGGUACCUAGAUAAGAAGCACCGGCUAACUACGU
rnacentral:rRNA from 1 species